GUCUUUUUCAUGGCUUGAAAGCUCAUUUCUUUUUGGCAUUGAAUAUUAUUCCAUUGUCUGGAUGUACCACAGCUUAUUUACCCAUUCACCUACUGAAAGACAUCUUGGCAAUUAUGAAUAAAACUUCCAUAAACAACCAUGUGCAGGUUGCUUUGCAGACACAAAUUUUCAACUCCUUUGGGUAAAUACCAAGGGGUGUGAUUGCUGGAUCAUAUGGUAAGAGUGUGUUUAGUUUUGUAAGAAAUGAACAAACUGUCUUCAACGUGGUUGUACCAUUUUUCAUUCCCAUGAGCAAUGAAUGAGGUCUCCUAUUGCUCCAUAUCCUCACCAGCAUUUGAUGUUGUCAGUAUUCUGGAUUUUGACCAUUCCAAUGAGUAUGUAGUAGUGUCUCAUUGUUGUUUUAAUUUGCAUUAUCCUGAUGAUGUAUGAUAUGGAGCAUCUUUUCAUAUGCUUAUGUAUAUUUUCUUUGGUGAGAUAUCUGUUAAGGUCUUUGACUCAUUUUUUAAUUGGGUUGUUUGUUUUCUUACUGUCGCAUUUUAAGAGUUCUUUGUCUAUUUUGGAUAACUGUCUUUUAUCAGAUGUCUUUUACAAAUAUUAUCUCCCAGUCUGUGACUUGUCUUUAAUUCUCUUGGCAUUUUGCAGAACAGAAAUUUUUAAUUUUAAUGAAGUUCAGUUUAAUUACUUCUACUGCUGGGAAGGAAAAAUUUUUCCUUCUUCCCCUCUAGGUUCAUUAGCUGGUCUAAUAAUUAAAUUGACCUAAGACAGAUUAACAGGAGAAAAACAAAUUUAAUUAUGUAGGUACAGGAGCCCCACAGAGACAUAAGAUUCCAAGGCAGUCAAGCAAUUGAGGCUUAUAUACAAUCCUGAGCUAAGAAGAAAAGGGUAGGGAUCUGGGGUUUCAAAGAGGAGGGCAACAAUUCACAGGAAGAUGAGAAGAGCAACUGUUCUAUAAACAGAUAUUUGCCAUGCCAUGCAGAUAAGUCUCUCUGACUUACAUCUGAUAAUAGCUCUUUUCCUGGUAUAGGACCCCUACCUAAAUUGUUUUAGGCAGUUAAGGGAGAGGUAAAAAGCUUUUCCUGAGUUUCUGGGUCCUAAUUGCCUUCAAUUCAAAACAAUCGACAUGCCAAAGUAGCCCAUUUUGGGGUGACAUAUUUGUUCCCCCUCACUUUCAUGGGUCAUAUCUUUAGUGUUAUAUCUAAAAAGGCGCGCUUUUUUUUAAUCAAAAUAGUUAUUUUUGUGAGAUAACCAGCCUACCUCUUAAGUAUUCAAACUCUCGUGUAGUCUCCUACCACAUUAUAACAAGAUUGGUCUGUGUGAACAAUAAAAUAUGGCAUAAAUGGUGAUAUGUACUUGUGAGAUUGAAUUAUAAAAGAAGCUCUGGCUUCAACUGGGCCACUCUUUUGGUCUUCAAUAUUUCUGUCUCUGUCUCUCCCUCCCUCUCUGGUGUCCUUUGGGAGAAGCCAGGUGCCAUGUCAAACAGCUCUAUGGAGAGGCCCCAUCCUUUACAAGUGAUUCUCUUGGAGCCUCCCUCAUUUGACAUCAGAGAAGAAAGAGCUGAGAGGGAAGGAGAAGGAAGUCUCCACCUCCAAUCCAUCCCUCCCUCCUCGAUCUCCAAUAACAACCUUCUCUCUCCAAAUCGUUUCUAACCUGGACAGAGGUGGGAGGAAUGAUAUGAAUGGGUCUGCUUCCUCCCAGUAAGCCCUGCAGCGAGGUGUCCAGCUCCAGGUGCUGAAGGAAACUUGAUAGUUACAAUUUUUAAAAUGAGAAGGUGUUUUGCCUUUUGUUUACAGUUGUAUCCUGUAGUCACCAAUGUCAACACUACUCUGUAUCUAAGCUCACCUGUUAAUUAUACUUUCAUUUCCUUCCUUGCAAAAUUUUUUGUUUUUCCUGGAGCUAAUAAUUAUCUUUGUUUUCAUUUGCUUGGUUUUCUUUAAACAUCUAAGUCUUCCUGAAACCUCCAACAGACCUGUCAAAUCCCUCUCAAUACAAUUUUCCUCGCCUUCAAACCUGUCAGAUAGUUUGCUUUUGUCCUGAGAAUUCCCUUUUCUCCCUCUUAAGUAGGAUAACAUACAUGCUGAGUUAAUGCUUUCCUCUUUCUUAGUUUUCCUUUUGUUUGGCGAAGCACAUCCUACUAUAUCUGCUUGCAAAUCAGUUCAUGAGAGGUAAAAUAUUUUGAGAUCUUUCAUGUAUCAGAAUGACUUUAGUCUAGCCACAUGCUCAGUUGAUAAUCUGAUUGGAUAUAGGAUUCUAGGUUGCAAAUUAUUUUUACUCAGAAUUUUUAUGACACUGUUCCACUGUUUUCUGACUUCCAUUGCUGUUCCACUAUCACUCUGAUUCUUCAUUUGUGUGUGUGUGAGGAAGACUGUCCCUGAGCUAACAUCUACUGCCAAUCUUCAUCUCCUUUGUGUGGGGUGCUGCCACAGCAUGGCUUGAUGAGCAGUGCUAGGUCCGUACCUGGGAUAUGAAAUGGCAAACCCCAGGCUGCCAAAGCAGAGCACACGAGCUUAACCACUACGCCACUGGGCUGGCCCUUGAUUCUUAAGUUUUUGCGUAUGACUGUUUGUCUCACUAAAAUCUUCAGUAUCGUUUUUAUCCCUAAAAUUUAAUUAGGUAUACAUUGAUGUGGAUCUUUUUUCCACUUAUUGUAUGGGCGCUCAGGGUUCCAAGAGAGGCCACUGUCCUGGUCCCUGAAAUUUAGAAGGAGCCCUGCACUAAAACGAAGACAUUGAUUUUUCCUUUUACUAUCAUUGGAAAAUAUUUUAGAAGUUCAAGAACUAAAUAAAAUAAGCAGGAAUCAUGGGAGAGAGGCUCAGGCUAACCUGGGGCCUCCAGGCCUGAAGAUGCAGGACUGCGGACACGUGAAGAGAAUAAAUUCACCACUUCUGCCCUGGGGCACCAGAGGAAAAAUGCCUACCUUUCCUUAAACUUAGUCACCUCAGAUCCACCAAAAUCACACGUAGGCAGGCAGGUUCUCCUCCUCCCUACUAAUUGCACUCCCUGCCAGUCGUAUGCUUAGUGGUGUAGUUUCCAGGACUUACUGGAAAUCCUAAAUCAGAAGCUAGAGGCCUGAGGGAGGAAAACUUGCCUAGCAGGUUCCUACAGGAACUUGACCAGGUCAGUCCUGGGCCCAGUCCAGCUUCCAACCUGCUAUUCUAGCAGACAGCCUGCCCCUCCCACCUCUUAGCUUGCAGGGUCCUGGUUGGUGCAGGGGAACACAUGGCUCCUUUAAUCUCUAGGCUUGGCCAAAAGGGCAGUCUCCAAGGAACAGGCUGCAGCACUUGGGUAGAAACGGGACCUGAACCGUGGUUCUAGCUUGGUUAUAACCUGUAAAUAUUUAGAAAUAUAUUAUGCAGACCUCUUCGUAUUCCUGCUCUGGACUCUGUAGGUGUUAAGAGUGGGCCUGCAAAUAAUCACUGGACACUUUCGAUAUGGAGAAGCAUCCUUGAGUUCUGAGAGAUGUACUGGGGUGUUUCAACGAUAAUUUCUUUCCUGAUGUAUUGUCUGUUUUCUUUGGAAUUUGUGUUAGUUGAAUUUUCUUAUUUUUUUCCUCACCUAUUGAUUCACCAUCUCUUUGCCUUUUUGUUCUAUUUUAUGGAGAAGUUUUUUAACUUUAUCUUCAAUAGAACUUAUCACCAACUGAAUUUGCGACUGCCAAUAUUUCUUUUUGUCUUUUGGUUGAUUAUUUAAUAGCAUCCUAUUCUUGCUUCAGGAAUGUAAUAUCUGUUCUGAUCCCUCAGAGUAUAUUAAUUACAGUUUCUUAAAGGUUUCCUCUGCUCCUCAUAUUGUCUAUGUUUCCUCUGAAUUUCCUUUUUGUUCUUUACUCGAGCUGUAUUUGAUGGAGUUUUUUUUCAAAUAUCUGGUGAUCCUUUGCUUUCUGUUCAUAUAUAAGAGUUAGACACUAAGACAAUCAGAAAAUUCCAUCUGCAUUUGCAAGAGUUUUGCGGAAUCACAUGCAAGAGUUUAGCAGAAUCACGUGCCUCACAGUCGGGCGAUUGGGUGACCUGAGAGCUAUCUUGUUGAAGUUCUGUCUCCAGAUGCUGUCCCUGACACAGCUCCAAGUCUUUGGAUGAAUCUUUCUAUCUCCUACUUGGCAAGCUCGAUCUUCACUGCUGGCACGUUGGAGCUGGUCAGGGUAAGAAGUUGGGCAUCUCUCCAUUCAUUGUAUGUAUAGGCUUUCGCUUGACUGCCUUGUUUUUAGAACAGCAUUUCACUUGUAUCCUCUUCAGUGGCAGUUUUCCCCCAGUCCAGUGCCUUUCUGGUUCAGUUUUUCUAGAGAAUAAACCUACUCUCUCCUACCGGAAUAAGGGAAAAUAUAGACCUAACUGUUUCCUGUCGCUUUUCUCACCACCAUCAUCACUCUUCCAAUCUAACCUUCACAGCACCUGGUGUCUGUGAUCCUCGAGCCUCCCAGUGUUCUACGAGACCAAUCCACAUACUUCUAUUUGGUACCACUUCCCCCUAGUCAGACUUGCACAGCUAUUUGAGUAUUACCUCUCUCCUUUCUGUUAUGUCAUUAACCACUCUGCCUGUUUUCAGUCUUCAUAUGUUGUGGCUUAUAUUUGUCCUAUGGAUUUUAUCAAAGAUGGUGUUGCACUUCUGUUUCCUGUUGUUUUUGUUUGGGGAGGGUCUUUGAGAAGAAAGAGGAUAAGAAAUGUUUUUAAUACUAAACUAUAAUCAUUCUCAGUUAUAUUUUAGGAAAGCAAUUUACCAAUAUGCUAAGAAAUCAAAACAAAAGGCUGCCAAAGGCUUAUAAACCAAGGCUUCUAUUACCAUCAUUACAUUUAAAUAGCUCAUAUCAGGGUACUAAAAUCAAUGAACCUUUUUCAAUCUUCAUCUUAACUCGCUUCUCAGCAGCAAUGGACAUUGUUUAAAAUUCUGUCCUGUUUAAAACACUUCCUUCCUCUGGCUCCAUGACACUGUACCUACCAGUUUUAUAUUCUAACUCUCUGGUUGCUCCACUCAUUACUUCUUUCAUUUAUUAAAUAUUUACUGAGUCCUUUCUCUAUGCCAGUUAUUAUACUAGAAGUUUAGGACAUAAUGAUGACUACAAAAUCACAGCUCCCACCAUCUAGGAGAUAAAACCUUGUGUGUCUUUUGCAGAUGCAUCUCCUUCUAUUUAGCCAUGAAACUAUGAAAUUUCUCUAAUUUUGUUUUAGGUUCUUGUCUCUUCUCACUAUAUACUAUCUCCUUAGAAAAACUCAUCCCCAAAAUAAAAGUCACAAUGUGAAGUGGCAGAUAUGUUAAUUAACUUGUUUAUGGUAAUUUUACAAUGUAUAUGUAUCCACUCAUCACACUGUACACUUUAAAUAUAUAUCAUUUUGUCACUUAUACCUCAGUAAACCUGAAAAAAAAAAAGAAAAAGUCAUCUUUGCCCAUGGCUUCAAUUAUCAUCUAUGUGCCAAUGACACAAAGUUGUAUCUCUUGCCAAGACCUCUACUGAGCUUCACACUUUUACCUAUUUGACAUCUUCAUUUGAAUAUUUUAAAGGCACCACUCAAUAUUUCCAAAACAAAAUUAAUCUGGUAAUCCUAACUCUAGGGACUGUCAUGCAAACACUCAUGCAAUACAAAAUCUAUAGUUUUGGCUUGGUCUCAUUCCACAUAUAAAAUCCACCACCAAUUUUUGUCCUCUUUUCUAAUUUUCUAAAUAUUUCUCGACUCCAUCCACUUUUCUCUAUCUCUAUCGCCCUGCUCACCUGCACUCUACAAUAUCCUUCCUACUUGGUGACCUGUAACCAUUCUAGCUUUCCCUCCAAAUCCUUCUCCAAGCUGUAGUCUGCAGCCAGAGUAAGCUUUUCAAACCAUAUAUGUGAUAACAUAAAAAACUUCUGCCAGCCCCAGCUUUAAAACUCCCAGUAGUUAAUAAAAUAAAGACUAAAAUCCAGGAGGUGGCCAUCCAGGCUGGCAUCAUCUGGUCCUUUCCUCCCUCUCCAGACACAUCUCAAAUCUCACUCUCCCUUUCGAUUAUUCAUCAUCCCUCUUUCAGACUGCCCUCUUCUGUCCUUUCUGCUCCUUCCCUCCGAAGCUUGUAUUCUCUUCCCACACCCUAGAAUGUUCUCCACUCCCCACCUUCUCUUUGCCUAGUUAACUCCGACAUACUCUCUUUUGUUAUAAACUUGCAUGGAAUCAUGUUCCUUUCCUUCUGACUUCUUAUUUCAACCUGUAAUUACACAUCCAUUAGUGUAUUUAUAACCCCAUUGAUUUAUAACCCCAUUUUCUUCAGAUUUUCACUGUUCUAUACAAUACUCACAAGCCAUGUGUGGCUGUUUAAAUUUAAAUUAAUUAAAAUUAAAUAAAAUUUAAAAUUCAGUUUCUCACUUACACUAGCUACAUUUACAAGGACUCAACAGCCACAUACAGCUAGUGGUUACCAUAUGGCUACCAUAUUGGAUAGCACAGAUAUGGAACAUUUAUAUCAUCACAGAAAGUUCUAUCAGACAGCACUGCUUCAGACUUCACACUCCACGAGAGGAGAACUGGGUCUACUUUUGCUCAUCCUUGUGUCCUCAAUGCCUAGCACAGGGCUUGCCAAAUAUUUUUUUAAAUGAUCAAAUAAAUGAAUUUUUGAUACAGUACUAUCUAUUAUUUCCAAAAUAAAAGCAACCUAAGUAGCCAACAUCAGAGAAAUGAUAAAAUAAAAAUGGAUUCAUGCAAUCAUUAAAAAUUUUAUAAAGUUUUGUAAUAACGUAGUGAAAUGUUUAUUAAAUAAUGAUGGUAAGUGAAAAAGGAAGAAAUAAUACCAUGCAUAUAGUGUGAUCACUACUACAUAAAACAAUGUGUAUAGAAUGAGAGGAAAAAAUAAAAUACUACUAGCAGUUAUCACUGGAUAAGGACUAUGGGCAAUGAAUUGUAUUUUCUCCAGAUGUUUUUAUUUAUCCAAGUUUUCCACAAUGAAAAUAUCCUCCUGUCAUAAUAAAAAAAAUUAAUUUAGGGGCUGGACACGUGGCCAAGGGGUUAACUUCAUGCGCUCUGCUUUGGCAGCCUGGUGUUUGCCAGUUCAGAUCUCGGGCAUGGACCUACACACUGCUCCACAAGCCAUGCUGUGGCAGCAUCCCACAUGAAGGAACUAGAAUGACUUGCAACUAGAAUACACAACUAUGUACUGGGGCUUUGGGGAGAAGAAAAAAAAAAAAGAGGAAGAUUGGCAACAGAUGUUAGCUCAGGACCAAUCCUCUUCACACACAGACACACAGAAAAAACUGAUUUAUGUGAAAAAUUUUAGAAUUGGUAUAAGUUUUAUAAUUUUAACCUAUGUUGUCAUAGAUAAUGUAACAGGGUUAUUUAUAAGAGUUAAACACACAAUGCAUGUAAAAUUACCUAGCACAGCAUAUGACAAUAAAAGUUCAACAAAUGUAAACUCAUUUAUUCUUUUACUCAAAGAGAGUGAUUUUGUUCCUUCUUCCUCAUGACAACUUUCUAAUAAUAAAUUAUCAAAAAAAAUAGGUGAUUUGAUAAGUAGCUUCUCUCUUUAGCUCUAGAAGCAUUCAAAAAAAGAAGCAGACAAGCCAUCUAAAAGGAAUGCUGCUGAAUGAGUCCAUCAUGGUAUAUCAUCUGAUUGCUAGUGAACAUUAAUGAUACCUAUGUAUCCUUCUUCUAAAUACCAAUGAUUCUGCACUUUGACAUAUAAAAGACUCAGCCUAUUCUCUACCUAUACAUAGAGUAGUAGCCUCUCCAAGUCAUCUUCCAUCAGGUGUUUCAAUGUGGGAAACAAAGUCCAGUCCCACUUGAAAAAUUGCCUGCUGCUUCUUUAUUUAUGUCUAAAAUAAGCCAAGUUCUGCUUCUGAAAGAUGGAGUAUACACACUUUUUCCUCUUCUUCUCACUGCAUACAACUAAAAACCCUGAAUGUGACACAUAAAACAAACAUAAGAAGACUGAAAGUUGGAGAGAACAAAGCAGCUGACAUAGGGACCCAAGAAAUGACAUGACAGCAAGUUCUCUAGAUUUCUUUUUUUGCUUUAUAAAUCCCUGACUUGUAGUUGAAAAACCCAGUAACACAGAAAUACCAACAGGUACAGAUGAAAAAAGCCCCAACAAAAGCCUAUUCUUUCUAGCCAAAGGACCAGGAAACAGAUGGUCUACCAAGGCAGAAAACAUUCAGACAAUGAUGCAGACACUCCACUACAAGCAAACAUCAUAGAAAAAAGUAUGGCCCCGAGUGGGGAGCUUAGACUUCCACACUUGCCAGGCCGUAACAAGGUGCCUCAACCCCUCCAGAAUAGUGUCAGAGAAGGCUGAGUAGGAACUGGAACUUUCAUCCCCACCUCGCUGUUUGAGGCCCUCACUCUCGCAACCACAUGAUGUCAGUGGAGACCAGAUGAGGAGCCUGGACUUCUCCCCCCAACCAGCAGUAAAGAACCACCCCUCCUUUCCACAAUGGGGAGUGAUGUGCCAGUAGAGUCCACAUGGGAAGCAGUAAUGAGCACUCCUACUCCUCUCAGACAAGGCAGUAUCAGUGGAGGCCUUAGUGGGGCCUGGAGGGGAGCCAGAAUUCCAUCUCUCACCCUCCCCUGCUUGGGUGUCAGCAGAAGUUGAGGGGAAAACCUGUAUUUCUACCCCACCUAGCAGUAAUGUAGUGCCUGCACCUCUCCCCUACCAGAUUGGUGUCAUAGGAAGCCAGCUAAGACAGGAUUAAAUAAGAUCCAGUGUCUUGUAAUACCUAAAAUAUCCUGAUUCAAUGAAAAAUCACUUGUCAUACUAAGAAUCAGCAAAAUCUCAACUUGAAUGAACUUGAUAAUCAGUAGAUGCCAGAACAGAAAUGACAGAGACAUUAGAAUUAUCUGACAAAGAUUUCAAAGCAUUCAUCAUAAAAAUGUUUCAAUGAGCAAUUACAAACAUGCUUAAAACAAAUGAAAAAAAUCAAAAAAUCUCAGCAAAGAAAGAGAAAUUCCCAGCAAAUAAAUCAAAAUGUAUAAAAGAACCAAAGGAAAUUAAGAACUGAAAAUUGUAAUCAUCAAAAUUUUAAAACUUAAUGGAUGGCCUCAACAGUACGGGGAAAAAAAUCUACGAACCUGAAGAUAGAACAAUAGAAAUUACCCAAUCUGAACAACAGAGAGAAAAUAGAACAAAAUAAAGAAAUAACAGAACCUCGGGGUCCUGCAGGAUUAUAACAAAAGGCCUAAUAUUCAUGGCAUCUGAGUCCCAGAUGGAGAAGAAAAACAGGGCAGACCUGAGAAAGAACUCAAAGAAAUAACAGCUGAAAACUUCCACAAUUUGGCAAAAGACAUAAACCUAAAGAUUUAAAAAAGCAAGCAAACUCAAACUAAGAUAAACCCAAAGAAAUCCACACCGUGACACAUCAUAAUCAAAUAUCUGAAAAUAAAGAAAAAGUCUUGAAAGCAGGAAGAGAAACAACUUAUCUAUAGGGGAAAAACAAUACAAAUGACAGCAGAAAACAUCAUCAAGCAUGAAAGCCAGAAGGAAGUAACACUAUAUUUUUUAAGCAUUGAAAGAAAAGAACUGUCAAUCCUGAUUUCUAUAUAUUGUAAAAUUAUCUUUCAGGAAUGAAAGGGAAAUAAGGACACUGGAGGAAGGAAAACAAAAGAGUGUGUCACUAGCAGACAUACCUGAAAAGAACGGCUAAAGGAAGUUCUCUAAACAGAAAGGAAAUGAUAAAAAGCACUUUGAAACAUCAAGAAAGAAGAAAAACAUAGAAAGGGGAAAAUACAGGUAAAUAAGAUACAUCUUCCUUUUUCUCUUGAGCUUUCUAAACAUUUGACAGUUGAAGCAAAAAUUUAUAAUGCUAUUUGAUAUGGGUCUACUUGUAUGUAGAGAAAUUUAAGACAAUUAUAAGCAGAGGAAGGUACACAGAGGUGAGAUUUCUACACUUCACUCAAAGUGGAAAAAUGUUAACCCAAUUAGACUGUGAUACAUUAUGUGUAUAUAACAUGACACCUACAGCAACUACUAAAAAAAGCUGUACAAACAGAUACACUUAAAAAAUACCAUAGAUAAGUCAAAAUGAAAAGUGUUUUUGUAACAUUCAAGUAACCCACAGGAAGGCAAGACACAGGGGGAAAAAAAACAAGAUAAACAGAAAACAAAAAGUAAAAUGACAGACUUGAGAACCAACAUAUCAGUAAUUACAUUAAAUAUAAAUGGUCUAAAGUAAACCAAAUGCUUGAAAAUUGGGGGGCCUUCUGGAUUACAGAAACAGAAUAGCCUACGUCAUUAUCAAAAUUUGUCCAAUAUUUAUAUUUAUAUAUAAAUGGUACAAAAUUUAUGUUAAAUGUUAUUGACUAUUUUGUACAAUUAAUUCUGGAUAAAAUUAACUGAUUUCAUAUAAUUAGUAAUAUCAAUACUGUACAGAACUUGUACAUAGAGCAAAUAACUCAUAUAAACCUCUCAGCUCAGUGGUAGCUGUUACUAUGAGGACAGUAAUUGGGUGGCGCUCCUCACCAUUUCCCUGCUCUGUGUAUCAAGUUCCCACAGGGCUCUCUCCAGUGCCUUACUCCUCCUAAUAUAUACACUAUUCCUAAGUGACUUCAUCUAAACCCAUAGCUUCAACUACCACUUACACCAGGAUCAGCAAAUACUCAGCACACGUGCUACAAAUUCUCCCUUCAACCAAUCCCCGAGUUGGGCUCUCAACUUGCUAUUCUCUAGGCUGCCACUUCUUUUUUUUUUUUUAAAGAUUUAUCUUUUUCCUUUUUCUCCCCAAAGCCCCCCGGUACAUAGUUGUGUAUUUUUUUUUUCUAGUUGUGGGUCCUUCUGGUUGUGGCAUGUGGGAUGCCACCUCAGCAUGGCUUGAUGAGCAGUGCCAUGUCCACGCCCAGGAUUCAAACCGGUGAAACCUUGGGCUGCCAAAGCAGAGCAAGCAAACUUAACCACUCAGCCAUGGGGCCAGCCCCUAGGCUGCCACUUUUAACUGAUCAGUUGGAAUUUGAAAUGAAUUUUUUUUCCAUUCUGGAUAGAUACUGAUUGCCUAUUUUGAGUCCGCUAACACUUUCUCCUGGCUAAAUUUCACAAGUAAUUCCAACGGUCUGUCAUAAAAUUCCAUGAAAUCUGCUUAAAAUUAAAAAGGAAAUGGAAAAAGAAGUUGGCAAAAUAGAGACUGGAAGAAGGGAAAUAGUUUUAUAGUCUUAAAAGAGAUCAGUGGAGGCCUUGAAACUACUUUCCUAUUUGAAAGAGAAGCCCUGAGACAAGGCCAUUGAUGAAGGCAAGACAAGGAAUCCAAAAAUCUCAUGUGUUCUGGUACAAAUCCAUCAUAAGAGUGAGAGAUUUAUUGCAUGUUGUAUAAAAACCACUAGUGAACACGGAAUAUUUCUCCCUUAGACAAACUAAUAAGUUAAUAGUUCUUUAAGUUAAUGAUUCCAAGCAUUGGUGUAGCCUAUGUUGAAAUCAUUGAGGAGCACAAAGGAACUUUCAAUUGAUUUGAUACAGUUGACUCAUUUUACAGGAGGCAGCUGGGGUUCCUAAGUGGCAGAGAUAUCACUGAAUCGGUAUCUUCCCACUCCCAAAUCUGAACACCACUCUAAAGUAAAUUUCUGCCAUUUUUGUUUGUUAUUUACACAAUUACAUAUACAUACUGUAAAGCAGAAAUAUGUGCAAUACCAACAAUUUUACACAAACACAUAUAUACCCUUUUGCAAAAUCUAGCGUAAACAUUAGAAAAGGUUGGGUAACUGUCUCUACUACCACCCCCGGCCCCCACUGAACCAAACCAGUUCUAGAUUAAGACGUCCUAUCCUGUCUGUGGUAUGAAGAAUAAUGGGCCCUCGAAGAUGCUCACCUACUAAUUCCCAGAAUCAGUGAAUAUGUUAAAUUACAUGGUAAAGGGAAAUUAAAAUGGCUAAUCAAUUGACCUAGAAAUAGAGAUUAUCCUGGAUUAUGCAAGUGGGGCCCAAUGUGUUCUCAGGGUCCUUAAAAGUGAAAGAGGGAGGCUGUAGAGUCAGUGUCAGUGACUCUGUGAUGUAAUGUGAGAAUCAACGGGUCAUUGCUGGCUUUGAAGAUGCAAGAGGGCCAAGGAAAGUGGGCAUGAAAAUGGGUUCUUCCAUAAAGACUCCAGAAGGGAACUCAGCUCUGCUGACACAUGGUUUUUAACCCAGUGAGAUGCCUUUCAGAGCUAUAAGACUGUAAAAUAAUAGGUUUGUGUUGUCGUAAGCAACUCAGUUUGUGGUAAUUUGUUACAGCAGGAAUGGGAAAACUAAGAUAGUUUCCAUAGAUUCAUUUCACAUUUCCUGCAGCCAUCAAGAGUUGGAGCCUGGUUAUAAAGUAUCUAUCAAAGAGGAAUAAAUGAAUACUGGUACUAACACAAGGCAACUAAGUAAUCUGUUCCCUCAUAAAAUAAAAACUCCUCUCAGAAUUUAUUUCAAAGGAACAUUUAUUGACCCCAUAUUAAACGGGCAUGGUCAAGAGAUGCCCCUCUUCUGUCUGUAUACAAUUCCCUCCUCUGUUUAUCCUCAGCUGCGUACAUCCUAUAUCUCAUAGUCUUUUACAAUUAUUCAAUUUCCUAUAAUGAAAUGAUAGGCUUGUCCAGAAGCUCAGAAUCUUCUUAGAAAGUUGUGGUUAGCAGAGUGAUGGGCUCAUCUGCAAUUAAGUAAAGAAAUGGUUUUUAUUCACUUCCAGUAAUGUGUGUCUAGCAUUCACUGUGUGCAUUCAGCCAAUAACCUCAAGUAGCCCUGGUUAACAUAGGACUCCACUGAGUCUGUGGCACUGAAACUUUCCUUCUCCUAACUACCAUGGCACUCUGUCACGCCUGAAAUCUUCCCGGUGGAAAUGGAAUGCAAAUGGACUCCAUGAGAAGGAUUUGGGUGAAGGGCUGGUCUACGCUCAUACUUGGAAGCCCUGAGAGUAGCAUGUGAACCGGUUAUAUCCUCAUGUGUAAGAGCCAUAUUCUCUCUUCUCGCCCAAAAGUAAAUUCAGCUCAGUGAGUGUGGCUCCUGGCUGAGAAGGGUGUAAACACGGGCAGAGUACCUACCAGAGAGCCUCUUCUUGAGUCUGUUCUGGAAAGCUUCCCCAAACAUAUUCCCUAAAGACCAUAAUAGGCAGAAAAGUCAAAGAUCUUUGGACUUACCUGAUGCUACAAGGAUGGGCUCAUCGAAAUAAGCAGCAGUGACAACUUCUAGAAAUAAAGCAGUAAGUUUCUUAAUUUAAAAGGUUAAAACCUCCAUGGAUUUUUCUCUUCCUAUUAAAAACCAAAGUUUCUCAAUAUAUACAUAUUUCAAAUCAUUGUGUUGCACACCUUAAAAUUAUACAAUGUUAUAUGUCAAUUAUACCUCAAUAAAACUGGAAAAAACAAAAAUAAAAUAAAUGCAUUACAGGAAAAAAAACAAUAACAAAGUUUCUUGGUUUGUUGGUAAUCGCCGCAGUCAGAAAGCCUCUCUUGAUAAGCAGGCCAUGGGGUCUAGAUAUUAGCAGAAAUGAUCAGAGGGAUCUGGGCCAUGAGGCUGCUUCUUGCUCUUGGAGUCAAACAUGAGAGUUUUCCUACUGCUCCAUGGGAUAGGGGUGGGGGUGGGUGGGAUGGAGGACAUCAUUCAUUUACGUUAACUUAUUAAUCAACCACUACAGAUUGGCUAGUUAGAAAACAAUCCUGAGGUAGAGUUUUUCAUUUUGCAAAUGAGGUAUAUUCUUUGAGGAAGACAGUUAGUGGAACAGCAAGAAUUUAAAGCCAGAGAACCAACCCUUUUUAAUGGGCCCUCCAGCCUCCACUAAAACACAAUUUCUAGAUUCCUCCACUACUGCCUGCAAUCUCCCAAUACACUUAGAGCAGUGCUGGAAUACAGUAGAUCUCAAUAUGUACUAGCUAUUAUUUGUAGACAUAAGAAUCAAAUUGUUUAGAAAUUUGCUUUUGUAGGUAAGGUCCAAGGCUCUUUCACAUCAAAAGUCCCAGGCACACCUCAAACUGUUGGGGUUUGCUUGUAGGAGUGGAAGACAUUGAAUCUUAUGACCCCUUGGCUAAGUGGUGGACAGAAAAAUGAAAACUGAUGGAGGCUUGAGAGAGAGAGGAGCAGAGAUAGAAACACUGCUUAACUCAUGAAGCUUCUAAGUCUCUUUUUCUUCUGUUCAGUCUAAAUUCACAUAAGAUUUACACUUACCAUAAUCUUUGUUGGCAAAGCUCUCUGGCUGAACUGAAUUGUAGUCAACUGGAAAAGAAAAGGAAAUUGUUAACGUUUUUCUUGCCACCACAUCCAUCAACCCCUUGGAGAUACCAAGGAUCUCGUCCUCUUUAGAGAAGCCCAGAAGGCUGGUCCUGGAGAUCAGUCAGGGCAGAUCUCUGGGCUGGAGCUAUGCUGGUAUUCAACUGGUUUCAUCUCCUGACAAUCUGGGAAAAUGCUUCCAUUUUCCUCAAGUUUCAAAGCUCUUUUGGCCAAGUUUACUCCACCUCAGAGAACAAAGCACCAAAAGUAUCCCCAAAUGUGUAAGUUAUCAUAGGACAUUCCUCUGCAAGGAGCUAUAAACAGGGUAAGGGAGGCAGGGAGGAAUCUUGAAGACAGGGAUUCUUACCUGUGGCCUCAGUGGCUUCUUUCUCAAAGCUGAGGGUGCUUGAUUCCACAGCAGUAGACAAUUCUAGGAAAACAAAAUGGAAGACAGGUGUGGUUACAAGCUUAUGAAAGGAAUCAAGUACACUGGAGGAAAGCAGACUUUCCCUCAGAAAUGCAAAAGAUGGGAGCCCACCAACUCCUGCCCAGGCCCCCUCUGAAGCCAGAAACCUCACUUACCAAAAGCCUGUGUGUUCUUCAAAUACGCUUCAGUAGUCAAUUCUCCACCACGAAAGAACUCUACGUCAGUGGCCGACUCUAGGUCUGUGGUCAACUCUAGGUCAGUGGCCGACUCUAGGUCUGUGGUCGACUCCAGGUCUGUGGUGGACUCUAGGUCAGCGGUUAAAUCUAGUUCCUCACUUGGCUCUAGGUUAAUGACCAGCUCUCCACCAGUGAGCGGCUCUAUGACAACAGCCGGCUCUUCAGGCUCCAGGACAACCACUGGCUCUGGGUCGGCAGAUAGCACCGGGUCAUUGAUAAUGUGUAUGAAUUCUAAAGGAGACAAAAAAGAACAAGACAGCCCAAGCGCUUUCUACCAAGAAUAUUUCCGUGAUCUCCACAUCCUUCCCAUUCCCAGGGGAAAACAUGGAACAUAAAAGAGUAUAUUGAAUCAAAUGUGGUCUCACCACAAGUCUCUCUUCUGCCAGCUGCUAGAAAAUCCAGAAGACUAACUGCCACCCAGGAAUAUGCUCAGUGUCCUCUACACUACCCUCCUUUGAGGGGGUCAGUUUAGGAAAGAGCAUUUGAUAUUGUGCCUCUAAAUAAGAAUUGGUCAGACCGGAACAGAAUAAAAAUUCCAGAGUCCCCAUCUAUACUCUUUCCAGUUCCUGAAAACCAAACAAAAACAAAAGGGAGUGUGGAGCAAGGAAAACAAGUAUUUCCAAAGUGCGUGAGCAAGAAUGGAAUCAACUCUAAAAUGGGCUACUCCUACGAUUUUGUCAUUUAAUGGGCUAUGUCAAGGACUUCAUUUUCCAGCCUCUCCUGUAGAAUGCACAAUGCAGAUGUUUUGGGGCUUGCUAACCACAAAAGCAUCAAAACUGUGUAAGCCUGAUCGACGUACAACUAGGGUCUUCUUGGACGAUAGUGAAAGAUAUGUAGUCACUAUGGCUGCUUGGUUCAGCAGGUUAUGGGCACCCUGCCAGUGAGGCCAAAAUCAUUAGCUCCCUAACUCAGUCACUUUGCUUUAUCACUCAUUCAUAUGCAGUAAAGAACCCCAAACCUAGCACCCGAUAAACAGAGCUACCAGAGGGAAAGCUGGGGGCAGAAAAAUGGGGGGAAGUAACCAUUUUAAUGCAAAUGAAUGAAAAACCUUCCUCCUGAGAAAUGAACUGAAUUCAGGAAGGACUAGAAAAGGCAAGCCUUCCCGGGAAAUCUUCCUUUCUCUGGUUCAUGAGGACAUCUAUUUCUUUCCUGUCUCAAUGUGACUCACAAGUUUCCAUUGCAGACCCACUGAUUUCCUGCGUGUGACUGAGUUAGCCACUAAAGCACUUGGAGUUUUACUAUAAAAUGAGGGCAUACCCUAGGACUUUUUAACCUGAAUUAAAUAGAAUAAAGCCUCUUUAGCCUUCAAUAGGGAAUAGAACCACGGAAAACCGUCAGUAAUUCUCUAAUCACCCACCUUAAGCCCAUCUGGCCCAGCCUUCUUACCUUUAUGAGGUCAAUUCAAACACACAACCCACUUCUUAGCUUAGCCACUUAACUACCCAAGGCCUCAGAGCUCAGCCGCCCAUCCCACCUCCAGCCCAAGUUGAUAUAAAUUUUACCCAUUUCAUUUUAUGAUGUUCACUGCAGGUCUCUGUCUCUGUCUGCCUCUUUCUCCGUACUCAUACACACGGCAGACACCGUGAAAGGAUUUUAGCCCUCUUCUCUAAAGACGUCCAAACAGUCCACUUACCCUGGAAUGCGAUGGGACCGAGAUCAGUUUCUGGCGAGUGGGUUGAGCUGGAAGUGAUAUCCUGCAGGAUAUAUCUCUAUCCUUCCCUGAUUCCCACCUCAACAGACACAAGCUCUGAAGCACCUGCAUGGAACCAGGCAUUUGACCCAGGGCAAGAUGCCUCUGUGAUUUCAAACCCCAAUGAUCAUUCUCCCCUCAGGAAGCAGUUGCCAGAGACUAAGACUCAAGUUUCUCCCCUGGGGAACAAGGAGCCCAGAAGGGGAUAAAGAUAUUGUGACUUGGGCCAUCUGACCUCACAGAUUAGAUAUGGAUAAGGAUUAGCCCGGUCUUCUAAGGUCAGAUCAAGCAUUUUUCCAGCAUCUGUUCAGUGACCCAACAAUUACACUAAGUACUUUGGGCAAUUCAAAAAAAGCCCCAAAGUGGAUUCCUUCUUUAAAGUUAUAACCAUGAAGCCAACAGAUGUAUAUUACAAAGGCAGUUUAUAAUAAGAUACUAAGAAAUCUAAUACAGGGCCAGGGAUACAAAGAAAAAGCUCGUAUCUAACAAAUGUUUACAGAGUCACUGUGAAAUGUAAUGACUGGAGCAGAAGAGGCAAAGAGGUCAAAAUCACAGACUCUGGAGUCCACCAGCCUGAGUGUAAAUCCUGGCUCUGCCAGUAAUAAUUAGGCAAGCCUGGGAAAGUUGCUUAACUUACAGUAUUUCAGUUUUCUCUUCUAAGUAACGGAGAUAAAAGCAGUUUUUACUUCAUUGCAUUGCUGUAAGGAUUAAAUUAAUGUAUUCAUGUAAAGUGCCUGGAAUAAGAAAAGUAAAUAAUAAAAAUUAGCUACUACUAUUAGGUGCUGAAGAUGAAAAAGGCCCGGGUCCCCAGUGAGUUGAUAAUAUUGUUUUACAGUGGGAACAUAAAGGAGCAUUGCACUGCAAAGCUCCUUGGGGAAGAUGGAACAAGUUGAAGUAAGAGUGGGAUUUAUUUGAAUUCAAUAAACAUCUCUCUGGAUUUAUGGAGGGACAGAAAGUAAACAGAAAGGCCUCUAGGCAAAAGGAAGUAUCAGUGUAUUGAAAGAUUCAAAAAUGUCCAUUAAUAGAAUGUCCAAGGUGUCAUGUCAUGUCAACUAUAAUAAAUUUGAAAACAUAGAGGAAGAACAUAUUAAUUCCUAGGCUGUGAAGCGCUGAGGCUGGAGCCAUCGUAAUCAACUGUGCUUUGCCCACUCCUACAGAGUCUGUUAUAGUGCUUUACACAGGGCAGUUGCCAAAUAAAUGAUGAUUCAUUUGUACUGAAUUCUAACAAGGGGUUGGUGGGAAACCAUCAUCAAAUCCAUUGUUUGAGCAGUAGAAUAGUAUCUAAAACCUUGGGUUCUGGACUUAAGAGAGUCUAGUCAUGAGUCCAGGUCCUUGUGAGAACUUGGGCUUGCCCAGUUCACUCUAUCCUUCAGUUUUCCUUGUCUGCAAAAUACAGGUGAUAAUAGUUAUCAUUUCACAGGGUCUUUGGGAGAAUUAUAUGAACGAAUCUCUGUAAACUGAUAACUGGCAUAUACAUAGUAAACAAUCAAUGAUUAGCAACUAUCAUUAUUAUAGCUUGAAAUGGACCCUGAAGAAUGAAUUAAAACUGUAAGAUUAACUAUUCUCAUUACAGAGAAGUUUCUGAUUGGAGAAUAUAGUGAGAGGGUGAGGGAAAGGGGGUAGCAGGAGAGGAGGUGGUGAGAGAGAGUCUGAAAUAACAUUUGGAACCAGACCAAGGAGAACUUCAAAAACUAAAGAUUUGAGUCAUUAUUCUGCCAGCAAAAUGGAGUCUUUGAGGUUGUUGAAUCAAAGAUUGUUGUAAUAAGAUUCACCGAACCUGCACAAAUAGAAAGCAGGUCAGCUGUGACACUGCACAGGCAAGAGCUACUGCAGGUUAGGCUGACAUUACGAAGGUGAGAUUAAAGGGACUAGGUGGCUGACUGAAUGUAGUGCAAGGCACCCCCACCAAGAGAUAUGUAUAGGCUCCCAAGAGUUGCUUUUCUAGCCUUUUACUUCCUCUAGGACUUGAAUUCCCAGAGUCAAAACCCCUAUGCUAAAAAACAAAAAGGAGACAGAAGAGGAGAAUGAAAAGAAUGAUGAUUCCUGAGAUUUGACUGAGAGUCUUGCCUGGUGGUGAAUGAGCAAGGAAGGAAACACACUAUGGGACACCAAAAGUGGAUUUCACUGGGUUUGAAUAUAGUUUUAAGGCCCAUGUUUUCUUUGGCACUAGUACAUAUCUUCAUGGGAAAUUUUGAGACUGACAACAAUGUCUCUGUCUGUGAACUAUUUUGCCUCAAGAUCAGUCCCUUUUAAGUCAUUGGGACAGGGUGGGAUGUUCCAGCAGCUAACUGAUAAGAAAAAAAAUAGUUAUAACAAUGAGAUACCAUCCCAUAUUCAUUAGGAGGACCGCUAUUAAAAAAAAAGAAAAAGAAAACAGUGGGCUGGCCCCGGUGGCUGAGUGGUUAAGUUCACGCGCUCCACUGCAGGCGGCCCAGUGUUUCGUUGGUUCGAAUCCUGGGCGUGGACAUGGCACUGCUCAUCAAACCACACUGAGGUAGUGUCCCACAUGCCACAACUAGAAGGACCCACAACAAAGAAUAUACAACUAUGUACCGGGGGGCUUUGGGGAGAAAAAGGAAAAAAUAAAAUCUUUAAAAGAAAAAAAAAGAAAACAGAAAAUAAUGAAUCUUGGCAAGGAUAUGGAGAAAUUAGAACUCUUAUGCACUGUUGUGGGAAUGUAAAUGGUGCAACCACUGUGGAAAACGACAUGGAGGUUCCUCAAAAAGUGAAAAAUAGAAUUAUCAUACAAUCCAGCAAUCACACUUCUGGGUGUAUAUCCAAAAGAAUUCAAAGCAGGAUCUCAAAGAGAUAUUUGCACAUUCGUAUUCACUGUAGCAUUAUUCACAAUAGGUAAGAGAUGGAAGCAACCCAGAUGUCCAUCAACAGAUGAAUGGAUAAAGAAAAUGUGGUAUAUGCAUACAAUGAAAUAUUAUUCAGCCUUUAAAAAGGAAGGAAAUUUUGUCACAUGCUAUGAAUGAGGUCGUAUGGAUGAACAAGCAAGGUCAUAUGAUGAAUGUUGAAACAUUAUGCCAAGUGAUAUAAGCCAAUCACAAAAAGACCCACUUAUACAGGUAUCUAAAGUAGUCAAACUCAUAGAAUCAGAAAGUAGAAUGGGGGUUGCUAGGGUCUGGGAAGAGGGAGAAAUGGAAGUUGUUGUUCAAUGGAUAUAGAGUUUUAGUUUUGCAACAUAAAAUACCUCUAGAGAUCUGUUGCACAACAAUGUGAAUAUACCUAACACUACUGAACUAUACAUUUAAAAAUGGUUCAGUGGCAAAUUUUAUGUUAUGACUUUUUACCACAACUAAAAAUUUUAAAAAUAAUUAUAAUGGUUAAUAAUGACUAAAUGAUGAUUACUAUGUGCCAAACACAAUGGUAAGUAUUUUACAAAUUCUAAGUACUUUACUCAUUUUGAUCCUCAUAACAAUUCUAAAAGGCAUGUAAAUUAUUAUCACUGCAGAUGAGGGAACUGAGGCACAAAGAAUUUAAGUAAUUUGCCCAAAGUUACAGAGUUAAUAACAGGUAGAGACAGAAUUCAGUCCAGGCAGAAAGGCUCAAAGUCAAUUCCCAUCAUUUAUACAGAUUCACCUCUACUCAUCAUCUUGGUGUCAAGGGCAAUUAUUCUGAUAGUUCAGGAUUAAUUCCUUCCUUUUGUCUCUGCCUCAACUAUAUUGACAGUUCAGAGGACAGGGACACAGACUUAUACAACUUUAUGACAUGUUUUCUAACAACACCUAAGUAGGUGCCUUGCCCAUUAUUGUUGAACCAAAUUAGCUCGUGCAUUUUAAACCAUCCCUUAACCACCCUAACACUCACUAAGUAAAGCUGAAAGGAGGUUAAAGGAUGGAUAGGAAAUGGAAAUCCCCAUUACUGUAUUUGGUAAAUCCCCAAGGCAAUCAAAACAAAGUCACAAAAUCUUUUUUUUUUUUUAAGAUUUUUUUUUAUUAUUUCCUUUUUCUCCCCAAAGCCCCCUGGUACAUAGUUGUAUAUUCUUCGUUGUGGGUCCUUCUGCUUGUGGUAUGCGGGACGCUGCCCCAGCGUGGCUCGAUGAGCAGUGUCAUGUCCGUGCCCAGGAUUCGAACUGACGAAACACUGGGCCACCUGCAGCGGAGCGCGCGAACUUAACCACCCGGCCACGGGGCCAGCUCCCACAAAAUCUUUUGUAUACCAUUUUUUUUUUCUCUCUUGAUCACUGAGUUUCCUCCAGCAAUAUUGCCUCGUACCCUUUUCUUUAAAAAAAUAUAUUAAGAGAAUCUCUCUUAAGAACAGGAGUACCGUUGUUCUGUUAGGAAGAGCCCGAAAUUGUGGCUCCUCCCAACAGUGCUACAGUCUCAUUGACCACCUGGCCUGUCCCCUACUCUUUCCUUAGAGAAUCAUACCACCACCAUUCCACCAUGAUUACAUUACCCAAACAAUUUUGUUGAACCAAUGUUUAGUUGAAUGAAUAUGAAGUGCCUGAAAGUGUGCUGGGGAUGCAGAGUUGAAUGGACCCUGCCUCCAAGAAUCACACCAUCUAGUAGCGGAGGUAGAAAGGUUACAGAAUAUAAUCUUAGGAGAAAUUAAUUCUUAGCACCAGUUCUAACCAUUUGAGCAAACAUUCUGGCUAAGAACCCAACCUCCCCGCUCCUGGAAUUCAUUCAUUAAAGGCACAUUUAUGGAUCAGCUCUUUUGUGAAAAAUUCUUUACUAUCCCAAUAUCUCAAAGCUAUGAAAAAAAUAAAUGAAUUAUAAGAUGUAAUAUGACCAGAGCCCUAAGAUAAGUACAAGGUUUGUAGUGAUCCAGAAGGGAUAGAGAUUAUAUUCAACUAAUGGUGGUCCAUUAAGUCAACAGUUGUUGAACAACACAAUGAAUCAGAAACUAUGCUGGACUCUAGCUACACAAAGACAAACAAGUUACAUCUCUGAGUCUAAAGGUAUUUCUGGUUAAUAGAAGUUCAAGAGAGCCUUCAUAAAGGAUGUAGCAUUUUAAUCAGACUCUAUAAGAUGGGUAAGAUUUCAUCAGGGGAAAACGAUGGAUAAAACGGAGGGUUUUCAGGAAGAAGACAUAGUCCAAGUAAACACACAGAGACACAGAGAUAGGAGAGUGGAGGACACGUUCAGAAAACAUCAAGUAGUCUAAUUUGUCUUAAAGGUAUGGUCCAGAGAAUGUGGAAAUUUGAGGCCAGGUAAUGAAACACUUAACUUAGAAUGGUAGACAAAAGAGAUUUGAGGGGCUGGCCCUGUGGCUGAGUGGUUAAGUUCGCACGCUCCGAGGCAGGCUGCCCAGUGUUUCGUUGGUUCGAAUCCUGGGCGCGGACAUGGCACUGCUCGUCAAACCACGCUGAGGCAGCGUCCCAUACGCCACAACUAGAAGGACGCACAACGAAGAAUAUACAACUAUGUACUGGGGGGCUUUGGGGAGAAAAAGGAAAAAAUAAAAUCUAAAAAAUAAAUAAAAAAUAAAGCGUCAAACUACAUAUGUUCUAAAAAAAAAAUCCUUUCCUCUAUUUAAAAAAAAAAAAAGAGAUUUGACUCAUUGGUAGAUAAUGGCAUGUUAUCUAAGGUUUUUUAGUAGCUUAAACUGAUCCAAUUCAUAUUGCAUGAAGACAGACAGUAAAAAGAAUAUAAAGGAAAGAAGAGAAGAGGAUCAUCACAGCAGCACAAGCAAGACAUUGAGUAGCAAGUUUACCAUGAAGGUAGUAAGCAAUACGAUCAGCAAUUUAUGUUUACAUGUUUGAUAUGAGAAGCGAGUGUCCAGAGAAAGGAAAAGGACUCCAGGUUGUAAAGCACAAAUUAUUCCAAUGACAUACACAAGGGUUCAAACCAGGAGCAAGUUUCUGAAUGGUAUUGGGAGGAGUAGAAGGUUGGUGAGGAGUGGAUUUGCAGGAGUGGGCAAGAUGAGUUUGGCUAGUGGAAUUUAGGUGCUUUAAGAGAAUCUUGAGCCUUGUGGGCAAAACUCCUAUUAAGCCAUUAGUCUCUAAAUUCCAGAUGGUAUAUGAAAAUUAGGAGACAAUUUUGAGGAAGGAAAGGGCUUGCUGGCAAUACUCCUGUUAAGAGAACCUUGAUAGAACUAUCCUACAGGCAGUAAAAAACAUGAGGCUGAAGCCCAUGAGGUUCUGGUUUAUGAUCAUGAUUUUGCUUUAUGCAUUGAGAUGUGUGAUUCAUUUCCCUCAAAGUGAUGACCAUGACCAAACAAUGGAUACGAUUCCAAGACAGAUGCAAAAAGCCAGGAGGACUAGGCAGAAGCUUGGUCUAGGGAAAUGCUUUCCUUUAGGAAGAUGGAGGAAAAGUCAGCAUAGGAAACGGAAGUUAGAGAAGUAGGAAAACCAGAAUGUUAGAUGGACACAGAAAACAAGAAGGAGAGAAUUUCAAGGAGAUGGUAAACAGCAUCAGGUACAGCCAAGAGAGAUCAAGAAUAAAGGAAAAUAGGGGAGGAAGUAAGCAGAGGGGCAAAGAGAUCCACAGAAAAAGCGAGGUGUUUUUUUUUUUUUUUGGAGGGGGUAGUUAUUUCAGUUUUUAGGUAAGGAGUAUUAAAAACAAGAAAGCAGACUCAAAAUGGAAUUGCUUAUGCUAAGCCCCAAGUCAACACCCUGAAAUUUAACUUAAUUACAGGUUCAGCUAUCCCAGAAAUGGAAUCUUAAACCAGUCAAUCAGGAAUCUCCUGAUCAGCACUGGUUAUCUUCCUAAUAGACCUCUCCCAUCCCCUAAAGGAAAAUGACCUUGCAAAGACCAACCUGCCUUUUCAUUUAGUAUAACUUCCUUGUUCUCACCCCCUUCUGCCUAUAAAAUUCUUCCAUUUUGUAUGGCCCCUCAGAGCUUCUUUUUGUCAACUGGAUUGAAUGCUGCCUGAUUCAUGAAUCUUUGAAUAAAGCCAAUAAGACCUUAAAAAUUUACUCAGUUGAACUUUGUUUUGUAACAGUUGACAAGGGCAUAGUUUAGGCAGAGGAAAAGGAGACAAAAGGGAGUAAGAGAAUGAAAGUGUCAGAUGGUAAAAGUGUUGGCAUAAAUGACAGCAAAGAGUAGCAAAAAAUAUGUUUGAUUCCCUAUUUACACUUCUGUUUUCUCCCACCAAAGUAAGCACCUUUUAGGAAAGGACCAAGAGUUGUUUGUGUUUGUACCCCAGACAGAGAUUGCUUUUUCUCCCUCGUACCCAUUCUCCUCUUCUCUCCCACAG
rnacentral:lncRNA from 1 species